UUUAGGAAGAUCAUUUUGACAACUGAAUGGAGGAUCCACUAGAAUGGGGAAGAGACUUGUGGCAGGCAUCCUCACCAGCAGGCUAUUGUGCUAUUCAAGUGUAAGCUUAAGUACUUUGAGAAGUCACUGGAAAAAGACCCUGAUAUUGGAGAAAACUGAAGGCAAAAGGAGAAGGGGAUGGCAGAGGUUGAGAUGGAUCGAUAGUGUGUCAUGGCAACAAUGAACAGGAGCUUGGACAGACUUUGAGAGAUUGUGGAAGAGAAAAGGGCCUCAUGGGUUAUGGUCCAGAUGUCAUGAAGAGUCAGACAGGACUGAACAACUGAAUGGCAACAAUAUAAAGUGAUUUGCACUAA